rnacentral:rRNA from 1 species
UUGAACGCUGGCGGCAUGCUUUACACAUGCAAGUCGAACGGCAGCACGGGUGCUUGCACCUGGUGGCGAGUGGCGAACGGGUGAGUAAUGCAUCGGAACGUGCCUAUUAGAGGGGGAUAACGCUUCGAAAGGAGUGCUAAUACCGCAUAAUCUCUGAGGAGGAAAGCAGGGGAUCUUAGGACCUUGCGCUGAUAGAGCGGCCGAUGUCGGAUUAGCUAGUUGGUGAGGUAAAGGCUCACCAAGGCGACGAUCCGUAGCGGGUCUGAGAGGAUGAUCCGCCACACUGGGACUGAGACACGGCCCAGACUCCUACGGGAGGCAGCAGUGGGGAAUUUUGGACAAUGGGCGCAAGCCUGAUCCAGCCAUGCCGCGUGAGUGAAGAAGGCCUUCGGGUUGUAAAGCUCUUUUGUCCGGGAGCAAGUCCUACUGGCUAAUAUCUAGUGGGGAUGAGAGUACUGGAAGAAUAAGCACCGGCUAACUACGUG